AGGUGGGAAAGUGCAGUGAAAAAAUGCCCAGAUCAUGCACACUGUGGCUAAUGAAAUGUGAAUUUACGUGAGCACCCACAGCUGAUGCACAUUUCAUGCUUGAGUGCUUCCAUGUGAUGAGUCCACUGCUAGCAGCAGCAGUAGUUUUAAUAACAUGCUUCAUAUUCUUGUUAGGACUUUGUACACUUCUCAGACAUAAGGGACCUAAUCCCAAAGUGUGCAAAUGAAGCUCUUACCUGAAGCCGUAUUCAGGCAAAGUGAAAAUUAAGCCCAAAGCUUUUUAAAAAGCUUCUGAAUAAUUAGCUGAUGUUUUAAUGCUAAUGUAUUCCUAUACUAUACACGCUAUAUUAAUACCCAUUAUCAGUUUUGGUGUGAAAUAUGGGAAGAAUAGGUACAAAAGUUGUAAUUAAAAUCAGAAACCAAACUUUAGGUGAAUCCUUUGGAGUGUGUGAGCACAGGAGUAUUCUUAUAUUCUUUGUACUUACUGAGCCUCAAAGAACUGGAAAAUGAGGAGCACCAGAACACCUAAUAGAUCUGCUUAAAGCUUCAGGUCAAUAACAUGCUUAAGCACAUGCUUAACUUGGAGCAUAUGAUUAAUCACAUCCCUGGUCCAUGGAGUAAUUAAACAUGUGCCUAUGUACUUUGUACAGUGCUCUACCAGCCUGCAGGCAUUCUCUAAAUACUGGUGUGCCUGAGAAAGUGGUGAAUCAGAAAGUGAUUUUUGGCUGGAGGUUGGAAAUGAGCUUAAAAGAGUUCGUUAGGCACCCAGGACUCAUUAGAUUUGAACAGCUAUGGAAAAGCUGGUCUUGUUAAGCAGAACUGCGUAAGGAGCAAGGUGUGGCCAUUUACCUUAUGGGAAUGCUGUAGUUUUGUUUGAAGUGAAAUGAUUUUAAAAUCCCUUUGCUUGGCAAUUUCCUGCUGCUCCCCUAUAACUGCUUCCCCUCGUGCCGGACAGACCAGACUCUGUCCCAGGAAAGCCCAAGCCGGGCAGCUUCUCUCCUAACUCACUGUUGGAAGUUUAGGUACGUGCAGAACUGGAGGCAGCACUGUUAAUACUUUCUUAGGGACCUCUCCUGUAAUUUUCAAGAUGGUGAUCAUCCUGAUCUUGGUUUUGAGAGCAAGAAACGGAAACAAGCUUCUUUAAGAAGGCAACCCCCAUGUAAGUGGUCUCUGGAAGCCGCCUUUGCCAGCAUUUAUUGACAGCUGCUCAUUAAUCUCAGGGCCACACUGGUAUCAGUUAUUGUGUUGCCAUCACGUCCUGGGGUCAGCUGCAGCUCUGGGAAGUUACAGUCCAUAGAGCUGUGGUGUGGGUUUGGCUGCUCUGAAGGCAGCCCUUAUUUUUUUCGAGCUACCAAGAGCAAACGCUGCUGCCAUCUAAAAGCAGAGGCUGAAGCUCUUGUCCGGGCAGAGCUGGAUGGCAGCUGCUGUUAAAUGUGCCAGAGUCUCUCCUGUGAGUGGGCGUUAUUAUUUGGUAAUACCAGUCCAUUCCAGCCGAGGAUCGUCCCUUUGUUUUGUGUACAGGACAAUUUGGUUUCAAUUUUUGUUUCUGAAAGGAAACUGUCAAGACAAAAUUCACACUUAAAAAACUGAAGGGAAGCAGCUUUUGUCUGCUUCUAACAAUCCCCUUCCAUGACUAAAGCUGCAAGAAUUCUAGAAACUGCAUCAUUUUCUACCUUCAGUUCGGUUUUGUGCUGUUCUUGCAUUUUCUGAGUUUCAGAUUCAAGGCACCAAAAGACUUCAAUCCCAAAUCAGCCCAACAGAACUGGUGUAAACUUAGAGAUAGUUGUGUGCUCUGAUGAUUAAAAUCUGGUUGUGCUUUAUCUAGCAGUGGAGUUGGGGCAGCAGGGAGCUGAGAGCAGCUUGGGCAGGAAUCCUGUUUUGUAGCACCCGUAGUCUGAAGAAGGAACACAUAGAACAUAUAAAGCCUCCAUGAAGGGGAUUCCCUGGAGCAGCACAUUCCCAUCAUUGCUGGAUUUGCCAAGGACAUGAUGCCAGUAAAAUACAACUGGGGUGAAGUCCCUUCUCCAGGCUGAAACCUGCUGAUUACCUGCUUUGCUGUACACUGGGUGUGCUCUGCUGCGGUGGGGUCUGCUGGAGCUUGUGGUCUCCUUGGGGUGUUGGUGUAACAGCAAGUGCUGAGGGGUUCUGGUCCUUGCCUGGGGCUCCUUCCAACUACAAAGAGUUGGGUUUUGUCAAUCUGAGGAGGGGAGAAAAAAAAGAACUUAUGAAAAUAAUACCAGCAUGUAUCUCAUUUUAAUGUGAGUCCUAAAAACUACUUGAUGCUCACUACAAAGGAAUUGAUUCCUUAAAUGAAUGAAGCAGUCAUGAGUGCUGCGUUCAGUGUGGGACUGCUGACGCUCUGAGUCAUGCUUUGCUUCUUUCAGGCUCUGGCUUUUAUGCUUCAUUUAGGGCACCAACGUCAUUAGCAUUCAGAGAGCUGCUGCUUUUCCUUAUUAUUAUUAUGGUGCUGUUGUAAUUUUUUUCAAAGAUGCAAAUAUUUGGAUCAGAACAGGGCUCAUGUUUUAUUACCAAAUCAGGGCAUGGGGUUUGCUUUCAUCUGACCUGCAAGCCUUACAAGAAACUCUAAAUGGAGCUAAGGUGAGGCUUUGUACAGUAAGGACAGGCUCUCGGGGAGGGUUCUGGAUGCCAUUUUGCUUGCUGCUGCAGAGGGUCACCCCCUGUCAGGACAGGUGAGACUGGGUCCAUCCCAGCAUCUUGCGGAGAGUUUAUGGGAAGAAACAGAGCAGAACUAUGGGUAUCUUCCUAUGGUUUCUGUUGAGUCCACCUCCAUCAAAAUCCAAAGUAUUGGCGAAGUAAUAGGAAAGUGUUGCUCCCUGCCUAAGAAUGUGCCAGGCAGGGCAGGGCUCUCCAGGAAGAUGUGUGAAUGAGGGCUGAAAAUCCCCAGCCAACUUCUUGGCACCCUGUAGUAAGGAACUUACAGAUCUUUUUUAGAUACUACUUCAGGUUCAAGUUGUGAAGUCAGUUCUAAUUCCUUAAUGAACAAACCAGCUUGCUUACUAAAUUAAAAGCAACAGUUGCUGCAAAACUGGGCAGAUCUAUGUGACCUGCUCAAGCCAGAUGCUGCUCUGAGCACCCUGAGCAUUGCAGGUUAGGAUGCGGAAGAGCAGGAUGUGCAGUGCUGCCUUUGCACUGAGCUGGUCAGAACUGGGAUCUCUGCUUCCCCUGCACAUUCCCCUUCACCAGUGCUCACCUGAUUGCCAGCACCACGUGGGUUUGCAGGAUGAGCUGGUGCUGCUGCCUUCUGCCCCUGCGCUGGGGUGUUUCAGGGCUGCCUGCAGCGAGCUGUGCCAGGCUGUGUUUGAUGGCAUCUCUGCAGCGGCAGACGAACCAGCUGGCGUUGCACUCAAACAGAGCGUGGCGUUAGCUCAGGAGGAGCCUGCGGGGAUGACAAAGCAGUUGCAGUGUGUCAGGGCUGGCACCGCGGCUGGCGCUGGGCACAUCAGCAGCCGCGUGUGCCAGCAUGAGCCGGCAGAGCCACGCUGCAGAGAAGGGACCCUGUGAGACUCUGCCCUCCUAGGGACAGACUGAGCGGCAGCAAGAAAAAUGAGGGACUUUCAGGGGCAGCUGUGUUUUACUAACCCAGUCAUAAUGCCCCUAAAAAUCCUUAUUGUUCUUGCAAUGGUCAACUGUGCCCUUCAGGGCGGAAGGCCUGCAAAGGAAAACACCUGGGGCAGGGCAAGCCUGGCAGGGCAGGUCUGUCCUCGGGAAGGUGUGAUGGCAAGUGGGAGCAGGGUUUCAGGCUGGAGAAAGGUUCUGCUUGAGUGGAGCUGGAAAGAUGCAUUGUUGUGAAUUGUGGUUGUGGAGCGUGUACUGUGUAUGAAGCUCAGGGCACAGGAGCUGCGACACAAAGUGGGGGACAUGAAACAAGCCAAGUGCUUUCUUCCCUGCUCUGUCUUGCAUUCCCUGCCUGAGCAGUGUGAAAUGCAACUGGAGAGAUGCUCAACCCAACCCUAGAGAGAGCCCAAACACCCCUAGCUCCUAUCACAGCUGUACUCCUCUUUCAGCUAACUGCUCUAAGUCUUUGCUCAUCCACUGCACCCCUCGCUGAGCUUUAUUUUCUACUCUUAAUUUUCCAGAUCAGCCCAAAAUACAGUAAUUGCCUGCAAAGAAGCAAUUUGUUAAAUAGAACCAUAAUAUUAAAUUAUUUGCCAUCUUUAUGCACUCCUAAUGCUUUAUAUCUGAGAGCUUCUAUAUGUUGAGAGUAAAAGUUGUUAUUUUCACUGAACUCUGCAACAAUGUUCAAAGCUUUUCUCUUUUAGGAACCCCACCUGGAGUUAUGUGUCCAUAGUCAGUCUGGCCUCACAACACCAACAGUCUGGCUGGAUUACUGGUUACUUUUUUGGAAAGGUUUUGUUUAAGACUUUUAUCAAGUUUAUAAAUUGAUCAAUAUGUUUAUCAGUUCUGCUUUAUAAGCCUAUGCCAAUAGAUUAGAAAUGCAUGGUUUUGCUUGUAGUGACUACACAGACUUGCUUUUACAUAGCACUUGCCUAUUUUUAAUUGGGUUCUAUGGCUCUGGAGCAAGAUUUACUCAUUUGUUACUUGUUAUUCUCAGGAGCAUUUCAUCUGCUUUCCUUAAAGCUGAAUUCUUUGUAAAGGAGAAGUGAUGAGAAACCCUGCAGUGAGUCCCAGGUCUCGCUGAGCGUUGUGAGGAUGCUGCCAUAGUGACGCUGCUCCAGUUAAGGUAUGGUAUGAACCAGGAGCUGUACCAGCUGCUGUGCAAUGUGCUCACAUGAAGUCAUCCUGCCAUAGCUGUUGCAGAAUCCCCAGCUCCCCUGUGUAAGCAAGCCCUAAAGGAUAAUCCUUAUCUCAGUGACUGUGAGUAGAUAAGAGGAGACAAUGGGCGCAAGAAAGACACGUUACUAUCAGCUGAGGAUGGGUACUGAUCAACCAGCUGGGAACAAAGAAACUUGGGCUGCUCAAGGCCCCACAGGACUGCCCUGGAGUGCUCUUCCCUGUGGCUGAUUCCAGGAACAUUGUGGAACUUUGGAAUUGUUUCUUUCAGGAAUGACUGCUUUGAGACCUUUGAUUUCUGAGGCUGCCCUAUUACAGGAAGCCCCAGGUCCUCUAUUCCUCUCUAUAUGGAUUCCUUCAUCUAGAAACUCUCAUGUCCAUGUGCUACUGAAACACGAUUGAAGAGCUUGAAUGUUCCUUGACAAGAUGGGUGGAUGGAAUUAAUUCCUUCUGUUCUGACCCUGAUAUCUGCCAAUCACCUCAAGUGCUAAUGGGCUGCAGAGCAACAACCUACUACAGUGGAAUAUUUUGUGCUGAAAACAGGAAGAUCGGGAAUGAGGGUUUGUAACUUCUUUGGAUGUGUUUUUGUGGUUCAGUUUUUAUCUUUAGUAUCACCACCUUACUCCAAAUAAGAAUAUAUGUAAAAAUAAACACGUUUUUGCUUUGAAAUACUGGAAUACUCCUCCCCAGCUUCUUCCUAUGUCAGCUCUGCCCCUGUGAAGAGAACCCCGCUCAUGGAUUUUAAAGCCAGAAGGAUGAGUCUGAACUUCUACCACUGGAUGCGCACAGAAUAACUCCUGCAGCUCAUCCUGAUGCCAGGGCCCUGAUGAAUGGAUCUUUUCCUUAUGUGCUAUGGGAAGUGCCUGUACAAAUGUCUGACAGGCUGUUGCAGUGUUUUGUAUCCUUGUGCCCUGCACCUCACAGCAAGCUGCAAGUUUCCAGUUGUUUCUUGUACAGCCUGUGGAUGAAACCCUUCAUGUAUGUGCCUGCGUGUGGUGAACAGGAGAGCACAGCACAGGGGGUUGGUGCUAUUUUUAUCCCAGCUGUUCCCAAAACAGCUCUCCCAGCCAGGCAGGUCACACGCACCCCCUCCAGUUGCCACACUGCCUGUCAGAGCAGCGGGUGGGUGAGCAGAGCUCUGCAGGACACUGGGGACGUGGCCAGGGGCUGAUCUGCAGGAUCCCUCAUGCAUAUCCCACAGGUACACACUGUGGGAUAACACAGUGUAGCUCUUUCACACUUCAGGAUAUUUCCAGCGGACCCAUUAUGUGUUUCUCAGUGCCCAGGCUAAGCCUUACACUAAGAUUGCAAGAACAAGUUAAGGUUUGGGUUUUCUAAGUUCAAUGUCAAUUAACACCUCUAAUUUGGCCUGGAAAAAUGCAGGGAUAUCUAAAAUAAAGGUGUUUUGGAAAGUACAUGCAGGCAUUCAUGGUAUUUUUCAGACUCGGUCUCAGGUGAUGCCAUCAGCUUCUACUGCAGUUAACCUCUGACCCAGCCUUCCAUGAUGUUGCCAUCCCUAGUCUAGGCUAAGCAGUAUGAACAUUAAAAUAGACCCUACUGAAAUCAAACACCCUGGUACUCACAUGCACAGAAUUCUUUCCCUGAAAAAUGGGUAACAGCAGAUGAACUAAACUUGAGCCACCAUUCACGUUACUUCGCACAUCCUUGGAAGGCGCACAGCAUUUAGCCUGGCAAUAGAGUUACAAGAGUCCACAAAGAACAAACCUGAAGUAGCAAAGAGCAAAGGGUUUAGGGUGAGAUCCCAACAGGGAAAAGAAAGAAGUAAAAUUUCCCUUCAAGUACAAGUAAUUCUAUGAAUGUCACUUCAGGCACCAGUGUUUUGGGCUGCAAGGAGCCUCUCACUGCAGGGGACACUUUCUGUCCUGCCUGGUAAUACUAUCAGCUGCUUUCAGUGCACAACUCCUGUCCAAAAUAGUUUAAUGGGGUACACUCAAUCAAAGAGAAUUGUGUGUCAGCCACAUAAAUGGAAUAAAGCCAGUGCAGGAAAUACA